GCUUAACACAUGCNAGUCGAACGAUGAAGCCCAGCUUGCGGGUUGGAUUAGUGGCGAACGGGUGAGUAACACGUGAGUAACCUGCCCUUAACUCUGGGAUAAGCCUGGGAAACUGGGUCUAAUACCGGAUAGGAGCGUCCACCGCAUGGUGGGUGUUGGAAAGAUUUAUCGGUUUUGGAUGGACUCGCGGCCUAUCAGCUUGUUGGUGAGGUAAUGGCUCACCAAGGCGACGACGGGUAGCCGGCCUGAGAGGGUGACCGGCCACACUGGGACUGAGACACGGCCCAGACUCCUACGGGAGGCAGCAGUGGGGAAUAUUGCACAAUGGGCGCAAGCCUGAUGCAGCGACGCCGCGUGAGGGAUGACGGCNUUCGGGUUGUAAACCUCUUUCAGUAGGGAAGAAGCGAAAGUGACGGUACCUGCAGAAGAAGCACCGGCUAACUACGUGCCAGCAGCCGCGGUAAUACGUAGGGUGCGAGCGUUAUCCGGAAUUAUUGGGCGUAAAGAGCUCGUAGGCGGUUUGUCGCGUCUGUCGUGAAAGUCCGGGGCUUAACCCCGGAUCUGCGGUGGGUACGGGCAGACUAGAGUGCAGUAGGGGAGACUGGAAUUCCUGGUGUAGCGGUGGAAUGCGCAGAUAUCAGGAGGAACACCGAUGGCGAAGGCAGGUCUCUGGGCUGUAACUGACGCUGAGGAGCGAAAGCAUGGGGAGCGAACAGGAUUAGAUACCCUGGUAGUCCAUGCCGUAAACGUUGGGCACUAGGUGUGGGGACCAUUCCACGGUUUCCGCGCCGCACGUAACGCAUUAAGUGCCCGCCUGGGGAGUACGGCGCAAGGCUAAAACUCAAAGGAAUUGACGGGGGCCGCACAAGCGGCGGAGCAUGCGGAUUAAUUCGAUGCAACGCGAAGAACCUUACCAAGGCUUGACAUGUUCUCGAUCGCCGUAGAGAUACGGUUUCCUUUGGGGCGGGUUGACAGGUGGUGCAUGGUUGUCGUCAGCUCGUGUCGUGAGAUGUUGGGUUAAGUCCCGCAACGAGCGCAACCCUCGUUCCAUGUUGCCAGCACGUAAUGGUGGGGACUCAUGGGAGACUGCCGGGGUCAACUCGGAGGAAGGUGAGAUGACGUCAAAUCAUCAUGCCCCUUAUGUCUUGGGCUUCACGCAUGCUACAAUGGCCGGUACAAUGGGUUGCGAUACUGUGAGGUGGAGCUAAUCCCAAAAAGCCGGUCUCAGUUCGGAUUGGGGUCUGCAACUCGACCCCAUGAAGUCGGAGUCGCUAGUAAUCGCAGAUCAGC
rnacentral:rRNA from 1 species